GCCCUCGUUGUCUAAUGGCUAUGACGUCAGACUUCUAAUCUGGAGGUUGCGGGUUCGAGUCCCGCCGGGGGUA
rnacentral:tRNA from 1 species